GACGAACGCUGGCGGCGUGCUUAACACAUGCAAGUCGAACGGAAAGGCCCUGCUUUUGUGGGGUGCUCGAGUGGCGAACGGGUGAGUAACACGUGAGUAACCUGCCCUUGACUUUGGGAUAACUUCAGGAAACUGGGGCUAAUACCGGAUAGGAGCUCCUGCUGCAUGGUGGGGGUUGGAAAGUUUCGGCGGUUGGGGAUGGACUCGCGGCUUAUCAGCUUGUUGGUGGGGUAGUGGCUUACCAAGGCUUUGACGGGUAGCCGGCCUGAGAGGGUGACCGGCCAAAUUAGAAUGGGAAUGAGACCCAGACCAGAAUGGGACGGAAGGGAGGGGAAGAGAACAUAGGAGGAUGAAGGAAAACGCGACAAAGCAACGUGGGGUAAGACAGCAAGGGGGUAGGAUUGUAAAUUUGUCUGUGACGGAGCGAGAAUGACGGUAACGGGUAAAGAAGCACCGGCUAACUACGUG
rnacentral:rRNA from 1 species